CAGAGUUCAUGCCCUCACGGGUAGAUCUCCCACCCUUGUGUAUUUAUACCUUUGUUGCUUUGGCAGGCCGCCUGGGCUCACGCCUGGCCACCGGCUCUCGGGCUGGUGCGUGCCUGCCAGAGGAUCUCCAAACUCUAGUUAUCAGUGUUGUCUGAGUACUAUACAAUAGUUA
rnacentral:misc_RNA from 1 species